rnacentral:rRNA from 1 species
CAGUAGCCGCGGUAAUACGAAGGGUGCAAGCGUUAAUCGGAAUUACUGGGCGUAAAGCGCACGUAGGCGGAUCGAUCAGUCAGGGGUGAAAUCCUGGAGCUCAACUCCAGAACUGCCUUUGAUACUGUCGAUCUCGAGUCCGGAAGAGGUGAGUGGAACUCCUAGUGUAGAGGUGGAAUUCGUAGAUAUUAGGAAGAACACCAGUGGCGAAGGCGGCUCACUGGUCCGGUACUGACGCUGAGGUGCGAAAGCGUGGGGAGCAAACAGGAUUAGAUACCCCAGUAGUCCCUGUCUCUUAUAC